GUCUCUGAAUGUCGGCAGGACCCUCCUGUUCCUGCUCCUGCUCCUGGCUGUCAUCGGGGGCUGUCUCUGGUGGCACCGCUGGGCUGCCAGGAAGCUCCAGGACAGCACCCUCGGGGCUCCUUCUUCCCACUCCCAGCGCUGGGGCUGGCACACAACCCUUUUCACUCUCACUGUACCCAAAAUGCAGCUUUUUGAUUAAACUGUGGC